UACAGAGGUGGCAAGCGUUGUUCGGAAUUACUGGGCGUAAAGGGCGCGUAGGCGGCCUUCUAAGUCAGACGUGAAAUCCCCCGGCUUAACCUGGGAACUGCGUCUGAUACUGGAGGGCUUGAGUAUGGGAGAGGGAUGUAGAAUUCCAGGUGUAGCGGUGAAAUGCGUAGAUAUCUGGAGGAAUACCGGUGGCGAAGGCGGCAUCCUGGACCAUUACUGACGCUGAGGCGCGAAAAGCUAGGGGGAGCAAACGGGG
rnacentral:rRNA from 1 species